UUCUUUCACGCUUGUAUCAUCCGUAACUUUCUGAACUUCAUUAUCUCGAAUUUCUAACUUAUUUGAAUUUGUGUAGCUUAAUAGACCCAACAAAUUCAAUUUCUGCAUCAUAAAAAUAACAUAAAUACAAUCCAAAAUUAAAAUACGCAAACAAUAAUAACAACAACAUACAAUUUAUACCUCAAGUACAUCGCGGGUACACUUCUCGGACACCUUCUCCUCAGUCAUCCUCUCUCGCUCCUCAU
rnacentral:lncRNA from 1 species